GUCUACGGCCAUGCCACCCUGAACGAGCCUGAUCCCAUCUGAUCUCGGAAGCUAAGCAGGUUUGAGCCUGGUUAGUACUUGGAUGUAGGCGUAAAAAAUUUUAAAAAAUAAGGGAUCGUAAGCU
rnacentral:rRNA from 1 species